rnacentral:rRNA from 1 species
UCGAGAAUUUUUCACAAUGGGGGAAACCCUGAUGGAGCGACGCCGCGUGGAGGAUGAAGGUCUUCGGAUUGUAAACUCCUGUCAUUGGUGAACAAGAUCGGCCGGGUAACUCCGUUGCCGGUUUGCUAGUAGCCGAAGAGGAAGGGACGGCUAACUCUGUGCCAGCAGCCGCGGUAAUACAGAGGUCCCGAGCGUUGUUCGGAUUUAUUGGGCGUAAAGGGUGCGUAGGCGGCGGAGUAAGUUGGGUGUGAAAUCCCGGGGCUUAACCUCGGAAUUGCAUUCAAUACUGCUUCGCUAGAGUACUGGAGAGGAGGCUGGAAUUUACGGUGUAGCAGUGAAAUGCGUAGAUAUCGUAAGGAAGGCCGGUGGCGAAAGCGAGCCUCUGGACAGUUACUGACGCUGAUGCACGAAGGCCAGGGGAGCAAACG